rnacentral:rRNA from 1 species
AAAGAAACCAACAGGGAUUGCCCUAGUAACGGCGAGUGAAGCGGCAACAGCUCAAAUUUGAAAUCUGGCGUAAGCCCGAGUUGUAAUUUGUAGAGGAUGCUUCUGGGUAGCGGCCGGUCUAAGUUCCUUGGAACAGGACGUCAUAGAGGGUGAGAAUCCCGUAUGUGACUGGCCCGCACCCUCCACGUAGCUCCUUCGACGAGUCGAGUUGUUUGGGAAUGCAGCUCUAAAUGGGAGGUAAAUUUCUUCUAAAGCUAAAUACUGGCCAGAGACCGAUAGCGCACAAGUAGAGUGAUCGAAAGAUGAAAAGCACUUUGGAAAGAGAGUUAAAAAGCACGUGAAAUUGUUGAAAGGGAAGCGCCCGCAACCAGACUUUACGGCGGUGUUCGGCUAGUCUUCUGACCGGUUUACUCACCGCCGUAAGGCCAUCAUCGUCUGGGACCGCUGGAUAAGACCUGAGGAAUGUAGCUCCCUUCGGGGUGUGUUAUAGCCUCUAGGUGAUGCAGCGCGUCUCGGGCGAGGUCCGCGCUCCGGCAAGGAUGAUGGCGUAAUGGUUGUCGGCGGCCCGUCUUGA